ACGAGGGUAGCAGGAAAUUGCAUUAACUUCGAUACUAUCGUUCAACGUGGAAAGAAGGAGAGACUGGCCUCGUUCAACUCUGAUCACUUAAUUAAUGCGACAGAAUGCUCGAAUGCAUAUACAGGGUGUUCAUAUUAUCGUGCCAGGCAUUCCUCUUGUAUCUGUGAGUGAGAGAGAGAGAGAGAGAGAGAGAGAGAGAGAGAGAGAGAGAGCUCGAAACAAAAAAAAGUAAACUGUAACUGUUAUCAUUCUUUCAUUCACAAUUCAUUUACACGUGAAAAUAACAUGAACACCCACUGCAACGAUUCGACUUUGGUUUUAGACAGCAUUAGACUUUUCGCGAUUAGACAACUAGACAAUUAAGCGUAGAAGUUAAAGUAACUCUUGGACGCGUUAGUCUUCUAUGUAACGUAGAUUGGCGUCAGUCGAAUGAAUUUAUCCAAGCAUACAGGGUGAUAUUCACGUGAAGCGUAUGGAAAAAGAUGUGUCGAGUAAAUGUUACUUGUUGUUAGGUACGCUAGACAAAACAAUUCCACAAAAUCGCGCGUUACUCCGUUAAUAAUAAUAUUCUCACGUAAAAGGUGAAAAAAAGAAUUGAAACGAUUAAACACUUGCCAAGUUCGAACGUCUCAUGCGGGCCACCCAGUAUAUGCGAGGAAACAGCACACAAUUAAUAACGUAGCGUAGUUACAAAGCGUGGAAGCGGAGGAUCAUAAUGCAUUUGUCCACUUACCUGCGUUAAACGGCAACAAACCAUUCUCCUUCGGCUAUGUACAUUACCGAUUAGGGUUCGAUCAUGCAGCGGGCAGAGCAAUGGACCCAGUAGGUAAACGUUAUGAAAAUAAAGAUAUAAACGAUCAUGCGAACGAUAAUAACGAUUACACCUUCGUUUCGUGUCAAUGUUUCCCCCGUUCGUUGGAACAGUGACCGGCAAAGGGGAUGCGCAUAGCGAAACUAAAAAGUCCAGCAAAACGGUGGCGUGUGUGUUAUACAUGUGCAGACGUAACUCGGCGCAACGAUGAUGCGUAUAAUUUUAUUUAAACAAACGAAAACGAGAGACCUCUAUUUCGCCGCUGAUAUACACAGGCAGCGUUGACGGAUAUCUGAACAGAAUCGAAGGUCGAUCAGCAGCACUAUUCAUUGUACAAGUAAUACUAAAUGGCUACACGUGAACGCAGUAGAAGUCUAACCGUUAACUUUUUUUUUUUCGAGUUUCUAAUGCAACAGGUGGUGUAUAGAUGCUUUUCGGUGCUUACGUGGCUACGCUCAAAGAAUUACCGUUUCUCAUCUAUUAACUCGUUAAAUGGCAAUAAUUAACUGCCUUAGAUAAACCAACGGAAAAAAAAAAAUAACUCUCGGUGCAAUUUUCUGUUGUCAGCUCGUGCAUAUAUGCCUUAAUGCGUACAAGACCUGCGGUGUUUGUGUAUCAAGGGGCAAACAAAAAAUGAUGAUACGUAUACCAACAGCACCGAUAUACGGCAUUAAGUGCUCUACCUACGCGAUCAUUGGUAAUAAAAACCUUUCAAAGACUUGGUUCUUACGUGAACGGAAUAAAUAAUAAAUAUCUAAGGUAAUGAAAAUAAUAAACAUCUUUACCACGGUAAAGAUGCCGCAUUACAUUGUUCCUAUCGCCAACAGGUACGUAAUUAAGUCUAACGGAAUACAAAAAGAAAAAGAAAACGACGAACGCGGUACACGUUCGUCUAGAGGCUACAUAGCACUUCUUGUUACUCGAUGUAAGCUGCGCUACUUCGGUUGAAAGAUAACUACGCUUUUAUCUACUUGUUGUUCCGAGUACUAGCAAAAUCUUUGAUAUGCUUUUACCAUGUCAUUGCUUAUACAAAUAUUAAUAAAAUAUCGAGAGAUUUAAACUUCUGCAAAACAAAGCGAAGAGAGGAAUGGAAUCGUAAAUGAAUUUCCAGGAAAACGUGCAGUUGCUUUGUAUCAUCGACUUCCUACGUUGUAACAUAAACGUACGAACGAAUCGAUUCUCUUUUCGAAUUGCACACUAAUAAAAACAUUAAUCCGACGUUACAAGUUUCCUAUUCUACGAAUGUGUACUCGUAUAUGUGGAUGAACUUUUACCAACUUCAACAGUUGCAUUAUGCAUACGACUGCAAAGAAGACGCUCUCUGCCAGCUAUACACGUCGGCGCAUGCAUGAUUAAAAGUCGAUUCGUUUCUUAAUUGAUCCCGUGUAAAAAGGAUUUUACUUUGUCGUACAAAAAGCGGAUAAUCCGUACGUAAUCAUUGUCGCGAAUCACGUACGGGUUGAUUCAUCUACGGUGUUAUUUCUAAACGUUAUGUCGUUCGUAAAAUGUAGUUUCGUUAUUGUAAAUAAAACGUUGCACGCCAAGUGCAACUGAUCUCGUGUACAUUAAACGACACGAUGUUUCGCUCCGUGGAAGCAUGAGUUACGAAAGCAAACUCUUCAUAGUAAAUGAAACAAGAACGAAUGAUUCGUACAAUAAGCUCUGAACGGUGUAAUGCAAAAAAACAACCUACCUUAGGGUCUCCAUGAAUGCAAGUUUCUUUUCUUAAAAAUAAAAACGAAUAAGUAAUUCAAACGUGUUAGUUCGAUCGAACAUUCGUAAACUGCAAAAAAACAUUCGUAUUAAUCGUUCGUUGGACUUUCGAAGGUUUUUGAAAACAAUACUGUUAAGCCAUUCCGCGUGUUCUUAUGUACAUACAAAAAAAAAAUAA